AUUGAACGCUGGCGGCAGGCCUAACACAUGCAAGUCGAGCGGAUGAGGGAAGCUUGCUUCCUGAUUUAGCGGCGGACGGGUGAGUAAUGCCUAGGAAUCUGCCUAUUAGUGGGGGAUAACGUUCCGAAAGGAACGCUAAUACCGCAUACGUCCUACGGGAGAAAGUGGGGGAUCUUCGGACCUCACGCUAAUAGAUGAGCCUGGGUCGGAUUAGCUAGUUGGUGAGGUAACGGCUCACCAAGGCGACGAUCCGUAGCUGGUCUGAGAGGAUGAUCAGCCACACUGGAACUGAGACACGGUCCAGACUCCUACGGGAGGCAGCAGUGGGGAAUAUUGGACAAUGGGCGAAAGCCUGAUCCAGCCAUGCCGCGUGUGUGAAGAAGGUCUUCGGAUUGUAAAGCACUUUAAGUUGGGAGGAAGGGCUGUAAGCUAAUAUCUUGCAGCUUUGACGUUACCAACAGAAUAAGCACCGGCUAACUCUGUGCCAGCAGCCGCUGUAACAC
rnacentral:rRNA from 1 species